GCGUUUGUGGGCGAGGGGCUGG
rnacentral:misc_RNA from 1 species